GAAAUGCGAUAAGUAAUGUGAAUUGCAGAAUUCCGCGAAUCAUCAAGUUUUCGAACGCAUAUUGCGCUCUUGGGUACUCCUGAGAGCAUGCUUGUUUGAGCGUCAGUAUCAAAUCUCAAACCCUUGGGUUUGGUUAUGGACUUUUCUCAGAGUAAAAAUUAAUUUUUGUUCUGAGUGGUCUUAAAUAUAUAGGAGGGUUUGCCUAUUUCCCACCUUGAAAGGCGUGAUAAUGAUGUAGUUCACAUCUUUUGUUCGCCGGACAUUGGGAGUUUUUAUUCUCUCCGUAAUGGCCUUUACUGGCAACCGAGGUUGUAACAGACCUUGAAACUUGACCUCAAAUCAAGCAAGACUACCCGCUGAACUUAA
rnacentral:misc_RNA from 1 species